rnacentral:rRNA from 1 species
CUAGUAAUCUACUUGGAUAACUGUGGUAAUUCUAGAGCUAAUACAUGCACGAAAGCUCGCACCUUGCGGAAAGAGCGCAUUUAUUAGAUCAAAACCAAUCGGGCCCCUUGCUGGGCCCGACGUUUUGGUGACUCUGAAUAACUCAGUUGAUCGCAUGGUCAUUUUGUACCGGCGACGUAUCUUUCAAAUGUCUGCCUUAUCAACUUUCGAUGGUAGGUUAUAUGCCUACCAUGGUGAUAACGGGUAACGGAGAAUAAGGGUUCGACUCCGGAGAGGGAGCCUGAGAAAUGGCUACCACAUCCAAGGAAGGCAGCAGGCGCGCAAAUUACCCAAUUCCAGUACGGAGAGGUAGUGACGAAAAAUAACGAGAUAGUCCACUUAUGUGGCCUGUCAUCGGAAUGGGAACAAUUUAAAUCCUUUAUCGAGGAUCUAUUAGAGGGCAAGUCUGGUGCCAGCAGCCGCGGUAAUUCCAGCUCUAAUAGCGUAUACUAAAGUUGUUGUGGUUAAAACGCCCGUAGUUGAUUUUUCGGCUUGGCACGACGGUGGCUCGAAAGAGUGUGACUGUUGUUGCAAGUCUGAUUUUGGGUUUGCGGCCGGUGCCCUUCACCGGGUGUCGGCUGUGACUCGAACGUUUACUUUGAAAAAAUUAGAGUGCUCAAAGCAGGCCAGUGUGCUUGAAUUCUGGUGCAUGGGAUAAUGGAAUA